CGGACCGCUUUGAGAGUACCGCCCGACGCACUACGUUUAAGCAACUUUUUAUCAACUCUGAAUGAAUUUUCAUUAUCAUAACUGUCCAACACUAAUCAUAUCCGCUUUGGAUUAUUCUUUGUUUCUUUCAUUUGCGACAAAUAAACGGUUUGACGUAACUAUUUUGUGAUAUUUGGUGUUGCCUACUCAAUUUCGAUACGCACCCAUUAAGCCCACAACAACGUUAAACGAAAAAAAAACAUUUUUAAUCGGAUCUUUGUUUUAGAAAUUGCAUUAGAAAAUGGUGAUAAUGCGGGGGAUAAUCAACCAUCCAAUACCGAAAGCGAAAUAGUAGGUAUUGGUCCAUCUUGCAAUAGUGUAAACAAAGAUGUUAUAGUAAAAAAUAUAUUAUGUCACGAAGUUUACAUCCCAAAAAGACAAGGUUCAUUCAUGAGUAACUCAUUUGUGAUGUCAUUUUGUACUCCUACCAUAAUGGAUCACUUGAAAUCACUCGUUGGCAUAAAUAGUUAUAAAUAUGAAGAUCGGAUUCAAUACAAACUAUAUAAAAGUCGAACCAGUAAAGAGCCUGAUUUACUUAUCAAUACUAUUUAUGUAGAAAAAAAUGCGUUACAUUGCCAAGGUUUGGUAAAGAAAAUAAUAUUAAUCAAAGAUACAACCAAAAAAACUCUUGAAAAAAUAAUAUUUGUAUAAUAAAAAAUGUAUUAAAAUAUUUGUAAACUCUAAUAAUAGGCAUGUAUGUUAAAUGUUAAAUUCAAUGGUCAUCAAUUAGUCGUAAAAAACUAACUUAUUUAUAAACUAUUUUUAUUGUACUAUUUGAACUAUACAAUGAUAGUAGAAUUCAAAAAACAGAAUAUUUAACCUAAUAAUCCAAAUGAUGUUAAGCAAUGAAGAUUUUCGUAAUUUAGUACACAUCAUAUUAAUUUAUUGUCGAAAAUUUCAUUAAAUUGUAGACUUCUUU